AACAGCAAAUCUGUAACGACACCGUUACAACGCGUAACCAUAAAUAAUAUUACAUCUGUAUUGCGGAGAACGCGGAACGGCGUGGUUUUAGCGGUUUAUACCGUACGUGACGGGGUGGGAGGGGCGCGCGCUCGUUAUUAUCGUUAUGACGUCAGCGCGUACGUAGUGCAGACGAUAACAUCGAUGUACGUGUCGUUUCCGAUAAACGUAUUAACGGGGAUGACGGGGACGUGAAUUAUACCGCGGUCGUCGUGGUCGUGGUCGUCGUCGCGGUCGUCACGAACCGGGAAGAAUAACCGACCCGCGUACAGGUGGCCGAUCGCCGCGAUUAACAAUGUAAUACGAAAUCGUCGCGUGCGAGAGUUUUACGCGCCCGGCCGUUA